CCAAAAUCCGUUUAGACAAUGCUAGGAUGUGAUGGGGAAGCCCUUCGGGGCGAAGUAGCUGAUUUCACACUGUCAAGAAAAGCUUCUAUCGAGUUUAAAGGCGCCCGUACCGUAAACCGACACAGGUGGGUGAGGAGAGUAUCCUAAGGCCAGCGAGAGAACUAUUGUUAAGGAACUCGGCAAAAUGACCCCGUAACUUAGGGAGAAGGGGUGCCUGUCUAUGACAGGCCGCAGAGAAUAGGCCCAAGCGACUGUUUACCAAAAACACAGGUUUCUGCUAAGUCGCAAGACGAUGUAUAGGAGCUGACGCCUGCCCGGUGCUGGAAGGUUAAGGGGAUCUGUUAGAGCAAUCGAAGCAGUGAACUUAAGCCCCAGUAAACGGCGGCCGUGACUAUAACGGUCCUAAGGUAGCGAAAUUCCUUGUCGGGUAAGUUCCGACCCGCACGAAAGGCGUAACGAUUUGGGCACUGUCUCAACAAUAGACUCGGUGAAAUUGUAAUCCCGGUGAAGAUGCCGGGUACCUGCGACAGGACGGAAAGACCCCAUGGAGCUUUACUGUAGCUUGACGUUGGGUCUUGGUACUACAUGUACAGGAUAGGUGGGAGACUAUGAAGCAUGGACGCCAGUCUGUGUGGAGUCAUCCUUGGGAUACCACCCUUGUAGUACUGGGAUCCUAACCAUAGGCCUUGAAUCAGGUCUUGGAACACCGUCAGGUGGGCAGUUUGACUGGGGCGGUCGCCUCCUAAAAAGUAACGGAGGCGCUCAAAGGUUUCCUCAGCACGGUCGGAAAUCGUGCGAAGAGUGUAAAGGCAAAAGGAAGCUUGAUUGCAAGACAUACAGGUCGAGCAAGGACGAAAGUCGGACUUAGUGAUCCGGUGGUACCGCAUGGAAGGGCCAUCGCUCAACGGAUAAAAGCUACCCUGGGGAUAACAGGCUUAUCUCCCCCAAGAGUCCACAUCGACGGGGAGGUUUGGCACCUCGAUGUCGGCUCAUCACAUCCUGGGGCUGUAGUAGGUCCCAAGGGUUGGGCUGUUCGCCCAUUAAAGUGGUACGCGAGCUGGGUUCAGAACGUCGUGAGACAGUUCGGUCCCUAUCCGUCGCAGGCGUAGGAAAUUUGAGAAGACCUGUCCUUAGUACGAGAGGACCGGGAUGGACGCACCUCUGGUGUACCAGUUGUUCUGCCAAGGGCAUGGCUGGGUAGCUAUGUACGGAAUGGAUAAGCGCUGAAAGCAUCUAAGCGCGAAGCCAACUUCAAGAUAAGAUUUCCCACCGUAAGGGUAAGACCCCAGGAAGACUACCUGGUUGAUAGGUCGAAGGUGUAAGUGCAGUAAUGUAUUUAGCUUAUCGAUACUAAUAGGUCGAGGACUUGAUC
rnacentral:rRNA from 1 species